rnacentral:rRNA from 1 species
GACGAACGCUGGCGGCGUGCCUAAUACAUGCAAGUUGAGCGAUGAAGAUUGGUGCUUGCACCAAUUUGAAGAGCAGCGAACGGGUGAGUAACGCGUGGGGAAUCUGCCUUUGAGCGGGGGACAACAUUUGGAAACGAAUGCUAAUACCGCAUAACAACUUUAAACAUAAGUUUUAAGUUUGAAAGAUGCAAUUGCAUCACUCAAAGAUGAUCCCGCGUUGUAUUAGCUAGUUGGUGAGGUAAAGGCUCACCAAGGCGAUGAUACAUAGCCGACCUGAGAGGGUGAUCGGCCACAUUGGGACUGAGACACGGCCCAAACUCCUACGGGAGGCAGCAGUAGGGAAUCUUCGGCAAUGGACGAAAGUCCGACCGAGCAACGCCGCGUGAGUGAAGAAGGUUUUCGGAUCGUAAAACUCUGUUGGUAGAGAAGAACGUUGGUGAGAGUGGAAAGCUCAUCAAGUGACGGUAACUACCCAGAAAGGGACGGCUAACUACGCG